rnacentral:rRNA from 1 species
AUUGAACGCUGGCGGCGUGCUUAACACAUGCAAGUCGUGCGGUAACAGGCGUAGCAAUACGUGCUGACGAGCGGCGAACGGGUGCGUAAUACAUGGGAAUCUGCCCUUUAGUGGGGAAUAACCCGGCGAAAGCCGGGCUAAUGCCGCAUAAGAUCUUCGGAUGAAAGCGGGGGAUCGUAAGACCUCGCGCUGAUGGAUGAGCCCAUGUCGGAUUAGCUAGNGGUGAGGUAACGGCUCACCAAGGCGACGAUCCGUAGCUGGUCUGAGAGGACGGCCAGCCACACUGGGACUGAGACACGGCCCAGACUCCUACGGGAGGCAGCAGUGGGGAAUAUUGGACAAUGGGACGAAAGCCUGAUCCAGCGACGCCGCGUGUGUGAA